rnacentral:rRNA from 1 species
CCUACGGGAGGCAGCAGUGAGGAAUAUUGGUCAAUGGGCGAGAGCCUGAACCAGCCAAGUCGCGUGAAGGAUGAAGGAUCUAUGGUUUGUAAACCUCUUUUAUAUGGGAAUAAAGUGAGGCACGUGUUCCUUUUUGUAUGUACCAUAUGAAUAAGCAUCGGCUAACUCCGUGCCAGCAGCCGCGGUAAUACGGAGGAUGCGAGCGUUAUCCGGAUUUAUUGGGUUUAAAGGGUGCGUAGGUGGUUAAUUAAGUCAGCGGUGAAAGUUUGUGGCUCAACCAUAAAAUUGCCGUUGAAACUGGUUGACUUGAGUGUAUUUGAGGUAGGCGGAAUGCGUGGUGUAGCGGUGAAAUGCAUAGAUAUCACGCAGAACUCCGAUUGCGAAGGCAGCUUACUAAACUAUAACUGACACUGAGGCACGAAAGCGUGGGGAUCGAACAGGAUUAGAUACCCGAGUAGUC